AAAAACACUACAGAGAAAAGAAUACUUUGGAGAAAAAGCUCUUAUCAGGGCCUGCAACGUACAGUCCUGUGUUACAGAAAUCUUGUCCAUACCCUUAUUUGUUAAAGCAUCAAAGCAUUGAGCUAUAACUUCCAGUACAACAUUGAAUAAGAGUGUAUAGCCUGAUGAUUAAGAGUUCACCUUUUCCAGGAAGAUACAU